rnacentral:rRNA from 1 species
GUUAGCGGCGGACGGGUGAGUAACACGUGGGUAACCUGCCUGUAAGACUGGGAUAACUCCGGGAAACCGGGGCUAAUACCGGAUGCUUGUUUGAACCGCAUGGUUCAAACAUAAAAGGUGGCUUCGGCUACCACUUACAGAUGGACCCGCGGCGCAUUAGCUAGUUGGUGAGGUAAUGGCUCACCAAGGCGACGAUGCGUAGCCGACCUGAGAGGGUGAUCGGCCACACUGGGACUGAGACACGGCCCAGACUCCUACGGGAGGCAGCAGUAGGGAAUCUUCCGCAAUGGACGAAAGUCUGACGGAGCAACGCCGCGUGAGUGAUGAAGGUUUUCGGAUCGUAAAGCUCUGUUGUUAGGGAAGAACAAGUACCGUUCGAAUAGGGCGGUACCUUGACGGUACCUAACCAGAAAGCCACGGCUAACUACGUGCCAGCAGCCGCGGUAAUACGUAGGUGGCAAGCGUUGUCCGGAAUUAUUGGGCGUAAAGGGCUCGCAGGCGGUUUCUUAAGUCUGAUGUGAAAGCCCCCCGGCUCAACCGGGGAGGGUCAUUGGAAACUGGGGAACUUGAGUGCAGAAGAGGAGAGUGGAAUUCCACGUGUAGCGGUGAAAUGCGUAGAGAUGUGGAGGAACACCAGUGGCGAAGGCGACUCUCUGGUCUGUAACUGACGCUGAGGAGCGAAAGCGUGGGGAGCGAACAGGAUUAGAUACCCUGGUAGUCCACGCCGUAAACGAUGAGUGCUAAGUGUUAGGGGGUUUCCGCCCCUUAGUGCUGCAGCUAACGCAUUAAGCACUCCGCCUGGGGAGUACGGUCGCAAGACUGAAACUCAAAGGAAUUGACGGGGGCCCGCACAAGCGGUGGAGCAUGUGGUUUAAUUCGAAGCAACGCGAAGAACCUUACCAGGUCUUGACAUCCUCUGACAAUCCUAGAGAUAGGACGUCCCCUUCGGGGGCAGAGUGACAGGUGGUGCAUGGUUGUCGUCAGCUCGUGUCGUGAGAUGUUGGGUUAAGUCCCGCAACGAGCGCAACCCUUGAUCUUAGUUGCCAGCAUUCAGUUGGGCACUCUAAGGUGACUGCCGGUGACAAACCGGAGGAAGGUGGGGAUGACGUCAAAUCAUCAUGCCCCUUAUGACCUGGGCUACACACGUGCUACAAUGGACAGAACAAAGGGCAGCGAAACCGCGAGGUUAAGCCAAUCCCACAAAUCUGUUCUCAGUUCGGAUCGCAGUCUGCAACUCGACUGCG